rnacentral:rRNA from 1 species
GAUGAACGCUAGCUACAGGCUUAACACAUGCAAGUCGAGGGGAAACGAUAGAGAAAGCUUGCUUUUUCUAGGCGUCGACCGGCGCACGGGUGAGUAACGCGUAUCCAACCUGCCCACCACUUGGGGAUAACCUUGCGAAAGUAAGACUAAUACCCAAUGACGUCUCUAGAAGACAUCUGAAAGGGAUUAAAGAUUUAUCGGUGAUGGAUGGGGAUGCGUCUGAUUAGCUUGUUGGCGGGGUAACGGCCCACCAAGGCAACGAUCAGUAGGGGUUCUGAGAGGAAGGUCCCCCACAUUGGAACUGAGACACGGUCCAAACUCCUACGGGAGGCAGCAGUGAGGAAUAUUGGUCAAUGGGCGGAAGCCUGAACCAGCCAAGUAGCGUGCAGGACGACGGCCCUAUGGGUUGUAAACUGCUUUCAGUCGGGAAUAAUUCGUCGGUCGUGACCGACGUUGCAGGUACCGUCAUAAGAAGGACCGGCUAAUUCCGUG